rnacentral:lncRNA from 1 species
AAUGAGGAGUUUAAUGAUUAAAAAAAAAAAGUCGAAUAAUAAGGCAGUCCAUCUGAUGGUAGUAAUUAAAUCAUAUAAAUGAGGAAUAUAGGUAACUCACUCGAUCCAAACCUCUGUCUUAUUAGCAACAACAACAACAACUACCCAGUAUAUUCCCACCAAGUGGGGUCUGGGGAGGGUAAUAUGUAGACGAGUCUUACCCCUACCCGAAGAAACCUCUGCCUUAUUAGCAGAAAACUAAAAAAAAAACAGAAAACAGAUCGAUCUGCCUCUCUCUCUUUGUCUGUCUCUCUCCGUACCCAAAGGCCGAAACUAUUAUGGCCACUAGCGGUAAUGGUGGUCGGCCUUUCCCUGAGGAUUUAGCGGUGAAUAUUCUACUCAGGUUGCCAGUGGAGUCCUUGUUGCGAUUCAAAUGCGUCUGCAAGAACUGGUACGAGAUAAUGAAGAGCCGUAGCUUCAUCAGAGAACACAUGCAUUAGAACAGCAAGAGCAAAUCCCCUCAAAUCUUGAUUUACGAUCAUAGUGCCCCACAUGAUU